AUUCCCGUUUAUCCUGCGGGAGGCUGCCGCUAGUAGGAUUCGGAUAAGCCAUGCAAGUCCAGGGGUCCGCAAGGACACCGGCAGACUGCUCAGUAACACGUCGAUAAUGUGCCCUAGGAUUCGGGAUACCCUCGGGAAACUGAGGUUAAACCCGGAUAGGGAGUCGAGGCUGGAAGGCGCUUCUCCUGAAACGUAAGGUCCUAGGAUCAGUUGGCGGCCGAUUAGGUAGUUGGUGGGGUAAUGGCCCACCAAGCCAAUGAUCGGUAGGGGCCCUGGAAGGGGUUGCCCCGAGAAGGGCACUGAGAUACUGGCCCUAGCCCCACGGGGUGCAGCAGGCGCGAGAACUCUACACUACGCGAAAGCGUGAUAGGGGAAUCCUACGUGUCCAUACACCGUAUGGACUUUUGCCAAGAGCAAGAUCCUUGGCGAAUAAGUGGUGGGCAAGACCGGUGCCAGCAGCCGCGGUAAUCCCGGCGCCACAAGUGGGAGCCACUAUUAUUGGGCCUAAAGCGUCCGUAGCCGGUCCGGUAAAUCUUCUGUGAAAUCGUGUGUCUCAAGCUCACGGCGCGCAGGGGACACUGCCGGACUCGAGACCGGGAGGGGUUGGAGGUAUUCCGUGGGGAGCGGUAAAAUGCUAUAAUCCUCGGAGGACCAACUGUGGCGAAGGCGUCCAACUGGAACGGGUCUGACGGUGAGGGACGAAAGCCAGGGGAGCAAACCGGAUUAGAUACCCGAGUAGUCCUGGCCGUAAACGCUGCGAGCAAGGUGUUGCGUAUCUCACGAGGAUGCGCAGUGUCGAAAUGAAGAUGUUAAGCUCGCCGCCUGGGGAGUACGGUCGCAAGGCUGAAACUUAAAGGAAUUGGCGGGGGAGCACUACAAGGGGUGCGGCGUGCGGUUUAA
rnacentral:rRNA from 1 species